rnacentral:rRNA from 1 species
UACAGAGGGUGCAAACGUUGCUCGGAAUCAUUGGGCGUAAAGCGCGCGCAGGUGGUCCUUUAAGUCUGAUGUGAAAGCCCACGGCUCAACCGUGGAGGGUCAUUGGAAACUGGGGGACUUGAGUGCAGAAGAGGAUAGUGGAAUUCCAAGUGUAGCGGUGAAAUGCGUAGAGAUUUGGAGGAACACCAGUGGCGAAGGCGACUAUCUGUCUGUAACUGACACUGAGGCGCGAAAGCCAGGGGAGCAAACGGG